rnacentral:tRNA from 1 species
GGGGUUGUGGCUCAGUGGUGGAGUGCUCGCCUAGCAUGUGUGAGGCCCUGAGUUCAAUCCUCAGUGCCA